UACGUAGGGUGCAAGCGUUGUCCGGAUUUAUUGGGCGUAAAGAGCGUGUAGGCGGCCAUACAGGUCCGUUGUGAAAACUGGAGGCUUAACCUCCAGACGUCGAUGGAAACCGUAUGGCUAGAGUCCGGAGGAGGAGAGUGGAAUUCCUGGUGUAGCGGUGAAAUGCGCAGAUAUCAGGAAGAACACCCGUGGCGAAGGCGGCUCUCUGGGACGGUACUGACGCUGAGACGCGAAAGCGUGGGGAGCGAACAGG
rnacentral:rRNA from 1 species